CGUUCCCGGACCUUGCACACACCGCCCGUCAAGCCAUGGAAGCUGGGUGUACCUAAAGUCAGUAACCGCAAGGAGCUGCCUAGGGUAAAACUAGUAACUGGAGCU
rnacentral:rRNA from 1 species